AGCAGUUUGGCAUACUGGUAAGGAGUAGGGCUCGUAACUGCAAGGUUGCAGGUUCAAUUCCCUGCUGCUGCUG